rnacentral:rRNA from 1 species
AAACUGCAUCCCUUGAGUAUCGGAGAGGCAACGGAAUUCCUAGUGUAGCGGUGAAAUGCGUAGAUAUUAGGAGGAACACCAGUGGCGAAGGGGCUUGCUGGACGACAACUGACGCUGAGGCGCGAAAGCGUGGGGAGCAAACAGGAUUAGAACCCUGGUAGUCCACGCUGUAAACGAUGAAUACUAGGUGUGGGAGGACUGACCCCUUCCGGCCGCAGUUAACACAAUAAGUAUUCCACCUGGGGAGUACGACCGCAAGGUUGAAACUCAAGGAAUUGACGGGGGCCCGCACAAGCAGUGGAUUAUGUGGUUUAAUUCGACGCAACGCGAAAACCUUACCAGGACUUGACAUCCAACUAACGAAGUAGAGAUACAUUAGGUGCCCUUCGGGAAAGUUGAGACAGGUGGUGCAUGGUUGUCGUCAGCUCGUGUCGUGAGAUGUUGGGUUAAGCCCGCAACGAGCGCAACCCCUAUUGUUAGUUGCUACGCAAGAGCACUCUAGCGAGACUGCGUUGACAAAACGGAGGAAGGCGGGGACGACGUCAAAUCAUCAUGCCCCUUAUGUCCUGGGUACACACGUAAUACAAUGGCCAUCAACAAAGGGAAGCAAUACCGCGAGGUGGAGCAAAUCUCAAAAAUGGUCUCAGUUCGGAUUGCAGGCUGCAACUCGCCUGCAUGAAGCUGGAAUUGCAGUAAUCGUGGAUCAGCAUGCCACGGUGAAUACGUUCCCGGGCCUUGCACACACCGCCCG